GGGUGCAAGCGUUACUCGGAAUCACUGGGCGUAAAGCGCGCGCAGGCGGGCUGGUAAGUUGGAUGUGAAAGCCUACGGCUCAACCGUAGAACUGCAUCCAAAACUGCCAGUCUAGAGUCUGGGAGAGGUAAGUGGAAUUAGUUGUGUAGGGGUAAAAUCCGUAGAGAUAACUAGGAAUACCAAAAGCGAAGGCAACUUACUGGAACAGUACUGACGCUGAGGCGCGAAAGCGUGGGGAGCAAACAGGAUUAGAUACCCUGGUAGUCCACGCCCUAAACGAUGAAUGUUAGUCGUCGGGGAGCUAGUCUCUUCGGUGAUGCAGCUAACGCAUUAAACAUUCCGCCUGGGGAGUACGGUCGCAAGAUUAAAACUCAAAGGAAUAGACGGGGACCCGCACAAGUGGUGGAGCAUGUGGUUUAAUUCGAAGAUACGCGAAGAACCUUACCUGGCCUUGACAUCCCCGGAACCCCCCAGAGAUGGAGGGGUGCCCCUUUUUGGGGAACCGGGUGACAGGUGCUGCACGGCUGUCGUCAGCUCGUGUCGUGAGAUGUUGGGUUAAGUCCCGCAACGAGCGCAACCCUCGUGACUAGUUACUAACGGUUCGGCCGAGGACUCUAGUCAGACUGCCUCCGCAAGGAGGAGGAAGGUGAGGACGACGUCAAGUCAUCAUGGCCCUUACGGCCAGGGCAACACACGUGCUACAAUGGGCAGGACAAUGAGACGCGAUACCGCGAGGUGGAGCAAAUCUAUAAACCUGCUCUCAGUUCGGAUUGUAGUCUGCAACUCGACUACAUGAAGCUGGAAUCACUAGUAAUCGUAGAUCAGCUAUGCUACGGUGAAUACGUUCCCGGGUC
rnacentral:rRNA from 1 species